rnacentral:sRNA from 1 species
GUGAGGAAGGUGUGUGUCCACCGAGCACUUGGAUUCAGCUUCUUCAUUUCCAACAUGGAAGAAACUUACAAAUCAUCCUGAUGUUGCAAGCAAAUUGGCUACUUGUCCCUUCAAUGCUCGCCACCAGGUUCCUCGAGCUGAAAUUAGUCAUCAUAUCUCAAGCUGUGAUGACAGAAGUUGUAUUGAGCAAGAUGUUGUCAACCAAACCAGGAGCCUUAGACAAGAGACUCUGGCUGAGAGCACUUGGCAGUGCCCUCCUUGCGAUGAAGACUGGGAUAAAGAUUUGUGGGAGCAGACCAGCACCCCAUUUGUCUGGGGCACAACUCACUACUCUGACAACAACAGCCCUGCAAGCAACAUAGUUACAGAACAUAAGAAUAACCUGGCUUCAGGCAUGCGAGUUCCCAAAUCUCUGCCGUAUGUUCUGCCAUGGAAAAACAAUGGAAAUGCACAGUAACUGAAUACCUAUCUCAUCAAAUGCCAGACCCUAGAAGACUCUUGCUUCUUCCUUCUACCAGUGGGUUCUCAUUUUCCUCCUAAUCUAAUUAUAGAAUGGUAAACUCUCUGUGACUUUCCAAACUGACAAGCACACUUUUUUCCUCCCCCCUUGAAUCCUCAUUUAAUGCAAGAACCCUCAUACUCAGAAGCUUCCAAAUAAACCUUUGAUACAGA